rnacentral:rRNA from 1 species
UACGGGGGGGGGCAAGCGUUGUUCGGAAUUACUGGGCGUAAAGGGCUCGUAGGUGGCCAACUAAGUCGGACGUGAAAUCCCUCAGCUUAACUGGGGAACUGCGUCCGAUACUGGAUGGCUUGAGUUUGGGAGAGGGAUGCGGAAUUCCAGGUGUAGCGGUGAAAUGCGUAGAUAUCUGGAGGAACACCGGUGGCGAAGGCGGCAUCCUGGACCAACACUGACACUGAGGAGCGAAAGCCAGGG